rnacentral:rRNA from 1 species
GGGUGGUAAUGCCGGAUGCUCCGACUCCUCGCAUGGGGUGUCGGGAAAGAUUUCAUCGGUAUGGGAUGGGGUCGCGUCCUAUCAGGUAGUCGGCGGGGUAACGGCCCACCGAGCCUACGACGGGUAGCCGGCCUGAGAGGGCGACCGGCCACAUUGGGACUGAGAUACGGCCCAGACUCCUACGGGAGGCAGCAGUGGGGAAUAUUGCACAAUGGGCGCAAGCCUGAUGCAGCGACGCCGCGUGCGGGAUGACGGCCUUCGGGUUGUAAACCGCUUUUGAUCGGGAGCAAGCCUUCGGGUGAGUGUACCUUUCGAAUAAGCACCGGCUAACUACGUGCCAGCAGCCGCGGUAAUACGUAGGGUGCAAGCGUUAUCCGGAAUUAUUGGGCGUAAAGGGCUCGUAGGCGGUUCGUCGCGUCCGGUGUGAAAGUCCAUCGCUUAACGGUGGAUCUGCGCCGGGUACGGGCGGGCUGGAGUGCGGUAGGGGAGACUGGAAUUCCCGGUGUAACGGUGGAAUGUGUAGAUAUCGGAAA